ACUGCAUUUCCUACAGAGAAAGUGAAAAUGAAGAUGAAGAUUGAGAUAGUCUCUAAAGAUAACUGCAAACCAUCAAUUCCAACCCCACACCACCUUAAGAGCUACAGACUCUGCUAGAUCAGAUAUCUCCUAUAUUUUAUGUGCCCGUCGUUCUUUUCUAUUCAGCUCCUGAAGACAUUGAUGAUGAUAUGACAAUUUUUUAUAAGCUGAAGAAAUCUUUAUCAGAAACCUUGACCUGUUUCUACCCUUUGGCUGGAAGGAUUGAGGGCAAUACAUCUGUGGAUUGUGAAGAUGGGGAUGUUGUCUUCACAAGAGCUAGAGCUAACAUUCAGCUCUCUGAGAUACUAAAAAGUCCAGAUAUGAAUUUAGCGCAACAACUUCUUCCACUUGAUCCCCACAAUAUUAGAACAGACAAGGCGGUUGCAGCCAUGGCUGUCCAGUUAAACUUCUUUGACUGUGGUGGUAUGGGUAUCGGAAUCUGCAUUUCACACAAGAUUGCAGACGUUGCAACACUGUCUUCUUUCCUGGUUGUGUGGGCUACAAGAUCACGUGGUGUUGUUGAAAACAUCACUCCCUCCCUAAAUUCAGCCACCAUCUUUCCACCUAGGGACAAGCAAAUUUUCAUGCCAUCCAAUUUGAUUAAGAGAGAAAAGAUUGUGACAAAGAGAUUUGAGUUUGAUGCUUCCAGUUUAGCCAGGAUGAAAGUCAAAGCAUCCAAGGGUUUGGGCAUGGACGACCGUGCUCCCACUCGUGUGGAAGCCAUGACAGCCCUCAUAUGCAAGUCUAGCAUGAAUACAAAAAAUGGUACAUCUGGUAAGGGUAGGCCAUCAAUGGCGAUAUGCCAUGUGGUGAAUUUAAGGGAAAGAACGGUUCCACCUUUGCCAGAGCAUUCUUUUGGUAAUAUCUGGCGGUUUGCUGUUGCAUCCAUAAUGAAAGAUGAAAGAAAUAUAGAGCUGCAUGAAUUUGUGGUUCAAUUAAGAAAAGUAAUAAGGAAGAUCAAUGAUGAUUAUGUGAGGAAACUUCAAGGUGAGGAUGGGUUUUCACAUGCUUGCAAGCCUCUAAAAGAAACAAGUGAGUUGGUCUCUCAAGGAGAAGUUGAGUUUUACAGGUUCAGCAGUUGGGUUAGGUUUCCAUUUUAUAACACUGAUUUUGGAUGGGGAAAACCCAGCUGGGCAUGCAUUAGCAAUGUGCCCAUUAAAAAUGUUGUCAUAUUGAUGAGUAGUAGCUCUAGCGACGGUAUAGAGGCAUGGGUGACCUUGGAAGAAGAAGAUAUGGCUAAAUUAGAAUGUGACCAUGAGCUUCUGGAGUUUUGUCUCCUUGCAAAAGGCUCUUAGGACUACAUAACUAGUUUCUUUAGUAGAAGAUAUGGCUAAAUUUGAAUCUGAUCAUGAGCUUCUGGAAUAUUGUUUCCUGGCAUCAAGCUCUUAGGAUUACGUACCUAGUUUCUUUAGUAGUCUAGUCCUAUGGUUCAAGUAGUUUCUCCACUGUCUUUGGCACAUGCAUGCCUUGGAGACCCUGCUCUCUUUCCUAGUACUUAUUAUAACUUUAGUGGAAUUGCUUCAUUCAUUUU